UUGGUAACGAAGCUAACGCGUGAAGUUGACCGCCUGGGGAGUACGGCCGCAAGGUUAAAACUCAAAGGAAUUGACGGGGACCCGCACAAGCGGUGGAUUAUGUGGAUUAAUUCGAUGCAACGCGAAAAACCUUACCUACCCUUGACAUGUACGGAAUUCCGCAGAGAUGUGGAAGUGCCCGAAAGGGAACCGUAACACAGGUGCUGCAUGGCUGUCGUCAGCUCGUGUCGUGAGAUGUUGGGUUAAGUCCCGCAACGAGCGCAACCCUUGCCAUUAGUUGCUACAUUCAGUUGGGCACUCUAGUGGGACCGCCGGUGACAAACCGGAGGAAGGUGGGGAUGACGUCAAGUCCUCAUGGCCCUUAUGGGUAGGGCUUCACACGUAAUACAAUGGUCGGUACAGAGGGCAGCCAACCCGCGAGGGGGAGCUAAUCCCAGAAAGCCGAUCGUAGUCCGGAUUGUAGUCUGCAACUCGACUGCAUGAAGCCGGAAUCGCUAGUAAUCGCGGAUCAGCAUGUCGCGGUGAAUACGUUCCCGGGUCUUGUACACACCGCCCGUCACACCAUGGGAGUGGGUUCCACCAGAAGUAGGUAGCCUAACCGCAAGGGGGGCGCUUACCACGGUGAGAUUCAUGACUGGGGUGAAGUCGUAACAAGGUAACCGUAG
rnacentral:rRNA from 1 species